GACCACAUCCUGACAACACACAGAAACACACACAUACACACACACAGUCAGAGUCAGUCAGUCGGAGCCGAUGUUUCAGAUCGUCAGAUUCAUAUGAAGACGCCCUCCGGAUAUCACACACAUGACCAUGCACAUGCACACACACGGCCUCAGUGUUAACAGGUGUGUGCGUGCGUGACAUCAUGUCUGACUUGUGGCCAUUUUCCUCGUCCUCUCCUUCCAUUGUCCAUCACUCCUCUCUGUCCCAGGCGUCGCCUUUCAUCGCUUCACCUUCUCCGCUCGCCUCCCCCUCGUCACCCAGGAACAAUGGAAACCCUCACGCUAAGGUACCCUCCUAUCACCUCAUACCUCAGACCCAAGCACCUAAUCACCACCCACAUCGCCAGGUAACCUCCCCAACCUUCCCUCAUCCCCACGUGACUUCCCCUCAUCUUGAACCCCAGACCCAGGUAUCCUCGCCUCACCUCCAUCAG